rnacentral:rRNA from 1 species
UACAGAGGUCCCAAGCGUUGUUCGGAUUCACUGGGCGUAAAGGGUGCGUAGGUGGUCGGGUAAGUCUGAUGUGAAAUCUCCGAGCUCAACUCGGAAAUGGCAUUGGAUACUACUUGGCUAGAGGGUUGGAGGGGGGACUGGAAUUUACGGUGUAGCGGUGAAAUGCGUAGAUAUCGUAAGGAAGACCAGUGGCGAAGGCGGGUCUCUGGACAGUUCCUGACGCUGAGGCACGAAGGUCAGGGGAGCAAACGGG